AGCAGCCGCGGUAAUUCCAGCUCCAAUAGCGUAUAUUAAAGUUGUUGCAGUUAAAAAGCUCGUAGUUGAAUUUCGGGGUCAGUAGGCUGGUCGUGCCACAGAUACGUACUGGUCUCACUGAUUCCUCCUUCCUGAUGAACCGUAAUGCCAUUAAUUUGGUGUUGCGGGGAAACUGGACUGUUACUUUGAAAAAUUAGAGUGUUUAAAGCAGGCUAACGCUUGAAUACAUUAGCAUGGAAUAAUGAAAUAGGACGUUCGAUCCUAUUUUGUUGGUUUCUAGGAUUGACGUAAUGAUUAAUAGGGAUAGUUGGGGCAUUAGUAUUCAAUUGUCAGAGGUGAAAUUCUUGGAUUUAUUGAAGACUAACUACUGCGAAAGCAUUUGCCAAGGAUGUUUUCAUUAAUCAAGAACGAAAGUUAGGGGAUCGAAGACGAUCAGAUACCGUCGUAGUCUUAACCAUAAACUAUGCCGACUAGGAAUCGGAUGAUGUUAAUUUUUUAAUGACUCAUUCGGCGCCUUAAC
rnacentral:rRNA from 1 species